rnacentral:rRNA from 1 species
GACAGAGGUGCCGAGCGUUAGGCGGAAUCACUGGGCUUAAAGGGCGCGUAGGCGGGCUGUCAAGUCCGGGGUGAAAUCCCGCGGCUCAACCGUGGAACUGCCUCAGAUACUGACGGUCUCGAGGGGGAUAGGGGCGAGCGGAACUGUGAGUGGAGCGGUGAAAUGCGUUGAUAUUCACAGGAACUCCGGUGGCGAAGGCGGCUCGCUGGAUCUCUUCUGACGCUGAGGCGCGAAAGCUAGGGGAGCAAACGGG